rnacentral:rRNA from 1 species
CCUACGGGUGGCAGCAGUGAGGAAUAUUGGUCAAUGGACGAGAGUCUGAACCAGCCAAGUAGCGUGAAGGAUGACUGCCCUAUGGGUUGUAAACUUCUUUUAUAUGGGAAUAAAAUGUUCCACGUGUGGGAUUUUGUAUGUACCAUAUGAAUAAGGAUCGGCUAACUCCGUGCCAGCAGCCGCGGUAAUACGGAGGAUCCGAGCGUUAUCCGGAUUUAUUGGGUUUAAAGGGAGCGUAGGUAGAUUGUUAAGUCAGUUGUGAAAGUUUGCGGCUCAACCGUAAAAUUGCAGUUGAAACUGGCAGUCUUGAGUACAGUAGAGGUGGGCGGAAUGCGUGGUGUAGCGGUGAAAUGCUUAGAUAUCACGAAGAACUCCGAUUGCGAAGGCAGUUCACUGGACUGCAACUGACACUGAGGCUCGAAAGUGUGGGUAUCAAACAGGAUUAGAUACCCCAGUAGUC